UGACCUCAGAUGAUCCUUCUGCCUCAGCCUCCCAACGUGCUGGGAUUACAGAUGUGAACCACUAUGCCUGGCCAGGAAUUUUUUGUAAGAAGGCUGUCUACUAAUGGAAUUCCUGACCUGGAGAGGAUAUUGCUGUCAAAGGAAUGGAUUCAUUUUUUUAUUAAAAGAGAUGAACUUAUGAAUUCAACAGGUGAAGAUUUACAACUUGAUAAAUCAGCUUCGUGAGCUCCAACUGUAAAAGCCAAAGGUCCGGGGAUGAUCCCAUACCGUUUUUUCCAAUCUCAUGUUGGAGAUUUUUAUGUAGAAGUUCUUCCCAAAGGAAUUUUUUUUUUUUGAGACAGUUUUCCCUCUUGUCACCCAGGCUGGAGUGCAAUGG